CUAGCCACAAGAAAUAAAUGAAAUGACAUAAACAUUUCCGUGUUUUGCAAUUCCGUUUCUUUAAAAAAUUUAAAUGAUUGAUAAUUUAUCGCCCUUUGAAUCGACACGCCAUUUGUAAACAUCGAAGGUCGCGGAGAAAAUGAAACUACCAAAAACAGUUAUUUGAUGAUUUAUUUCGAUUGUAUAAAGAAUGACAGUUAACGAAUGUCAAGAUCAACCACUAAGGAUUGUUUGGCUUGAUGCAAUGACCUUAAACAGUUAAAGGAUUUUCCAGGAAGGUUUAUACACCACAAGCUCGAUUCUUUUGGGUGAUGAAAGAACUAUGAAUAUGUGAAUGGGUAUGAAACAGA